rnacentral:rRNA from 1 species
GUGGGGAAUCUUGCGCAAUGGGCGAAAGCCUGACGCAGCCAUGCCGCGUGAAUGAUGAAGGUCUUAGGAUUGUAAAAUUCUUUCACCGGGGACGAUAAUGACGGUACCCGGAGAAGAAGCCCCGGCUAACUUCGUGCCAGCAGCCGCGGUAAUACGAAGGGGGCUAGCGUUGCUCGGAAUUACUGGGCGUAAAGGGCGCGUAGGCGGACAGCUUAGUCAGAGGUGAAAGCCCAGGGCUCAACCUUGGAAUUGCCUGUGAUACUGGCUGUCUUGAGUUUGGGAGAGGUGAGUGGAACUCCGAGUGUAGAGGUGAAAUUCGUAGAUAUUCGGAAGAACACCAGUGGCGAAGGCGACUCACUGGCCCAAUACUGACGCUGAGGCGCGAAAGCGUGGGGAGCAAACAGGAUUAGAUACCCCGGUAGUCC